UACGGGGGGAGCAAGCGUUGUUCGGAUUUACUGGGCGUAAAGGGCGCGUAGGCGGUCAGCACAAGUCAGUUGUGAAAUCUCCGGGCUUAACUCGGAAAGGUCAACUGAUACUGUGCGACUAGAGUGCAGAAGGGGCAACUGGAAUUCUCGGUGUAGCGGUGAAAUGCGUAGAUAUCGAGAGGAACACCUGCGGCGAAGGCGGGUUGCUGGGCUGACACUGACGCUGAGGCGCGAAGGCGUGGGGAGCGAACGGG
rnacentral:rRNA from 1 species